GACGAACGCUGGCGGCGUGCUUAACACAUGCAAGUCGAACGGAAAGGCCCUCACCUUGGUGGGGGUGCUCGAGUGGCGAACGGGUGAGUAACACGUGGGUGAUCUGCCCUGUACUUCGGGAUAAGCUUGGGAAACUGGGUCUAAUACCGGAUAGGACCAUGGUUUAGUGUCUCAUGGUGGAAAAAUUAUUGUUUUGGUGCAGGAUGAGCUCGCGGCCUAUCAGCUUGUUGGUGGGGUAAUGGCCUACCAAGGCGUCGACGGGUAGCCGGCCUGAGAGGGUGGACGGCCACAUUGGGACUGAGAUACGGCCCAGACUCCUACGGGAGGCAGCAGUGGGGAAUAUUGCACAAUGGGCGCAAGCCUGAUGCAGCGACGCCGCGUGGGGGAUGACGGCCUUCGGGUUGUAAACUCCUUUCGUUAGGGACGAAGCCACACUUUUUUUGGGUGUGGUGACGGUACCUUUGUUAAGAAGCGCCGGCUAACUACGUGCCAGCAGCCGCGGUAAUACGUAGGGUGCGAGCGUUGUCCGGAAUUACUGGGCGUAAAGAGCUCGUAGGUGGUUUGUUGCGUCGUCUGUGAAAUUCCGGGGCUUAACUUCGGGGUGGCAGGCGAUACGGGCAUAACUAGAGUGCUGUAGGGGAGACUGGAAUUCCUGGUGUAGCGGUGGAAUGCGCAGAUAUCAGGGGGAACACCGAUGGCGAAGGCAGGUCUCUGGGCAGUAACUGACGCUGAGGAGCGAAAGCAUGGGGAGCGAACAGGAUUAGAUACCCUGGUAGUCCAUGCUGUAAACGGUGGGCGUUAGGUGUGGGGACCGGUUUGGUUUCUGUGCCGUAGCUAACGCAUUAAGCGCCCCGCCUGGGGAGUACGGCCGCAAGGCUAAAACUCAAAGGAAUUGACGGGGGCCCGCACAAGCGGCGGAGCAUGUGGAUUAAUUCGAUGCAACGCGGAGAACCUUACCUGGGUUUGACAUGCACCAGACGGUUGUAGAGAUACGUACCUCCCUUUGUGGUUGGUGUGCAGGUGGUGCAUGGUUGUCGUCAGCUCGUGUCGUGAGAUGUUGGGUUAAGUCCCGCAACGAGCGCAACCCUUGUCUUAUGUUGCCAGCACGUUUGGGUGGGGACUCAUGAGAGACUGCCGGGGUUAACUCGGAGGAAGGUGGGGAUGACGUCAAAUCAUCAUGCCCUUUAUGCCCAGGGCUUCACACAUGCUACAAUGGUUAGUACAACGCGCGGCGAGCCUGUGAGGGUGAGCGAAUCGCUGAAAGCUAAUCUCAGUUCGGAUUGGGGUCUGCAACUCGACCCCAUGAAGUCGGAGUCGCUAGUAAUCGCAGAUCAGCAAUGCUGCGGUGAAUACGUUCCCGGGCCU
rnacentral:rRNA from 1 species